UAGCCUAGUGGUUAAGGCUAUGGAUCGCCAAUCCAGAGACUGCGAGUUCGAUUCCCGU
rfam:Aedes albopictus isolate Foshan contig130402, whole genome shotgun sequence.